AACAAUGAUAGAGGCGCGGCGCUCAUCAGUACCUUCCAACCUCCGGCAGGCAACCGGGGAAGCGAAAGGGGGCACCGCCGAAGGGCUUCUCGGGUUCCUGCCUGAGGGGUGUCCUGGGUCGGCAGAGAAGAUCUGCCGGACUGCCAUUGUCAAAACGAUGGAGCGCUAUCAUGGGA
rfam:Firmicutes bacterium CAG:114 genomic scaffold, scf247